GACAGCAGCCGCCGCGGGAAUACGUAGGUGGCAAGCGUUGUCCGGAAUUAUUGGGCGUAAAGCGCGCGCAGGCGGCCUAUCCAGUCUGUCUUAAAAGUUCGGGGCUCAACCCCGUGAUGGGAUGGAAACUAGUAGGCUAGAGUAUCGGAGAGGAAAGCGGAAUUCCUAGUGUAGCGGUGAAAUGCGUAGAUAUUAGGAAGAACACCAGUGGCGAAGGCGGCUUUCUGGACGAAAACUGACGCUGAGGCGCGAAAGCCAGGGGAGCGAACGGGAUUAGAUACCCCCGUAGUCCCUGUCUCUUAUACA
rnacentral:rRNA from 1 species